rnacentral:rRNA from 1 species
UGGGAAGUAUUGCACAAUGGGCGCAAGCCUGAUGCAGCCAUGCCGCGUGUAUGAAGAAGGCCUUCGGGUUGUAAAGUACUUUCAGCGGGAGGAAGGCAGAUAAGGUUAAUAACCUUGUCGAUUGACGUUACCCGCAGAAGAAGACAACCGGCUAACCGUCCGUAGCCAGCAGCCGCGGGUAAUACGGAGGGUGCAAGCGUUAAUCGGAAUUACUGGGCGUAAAGCGCACGCAGGCGGUCUGUCAAGUCGGAUGUGAAAUCCCGGGCUCAACCUGGGAACUGCAUUCGAAACUGGCAGGCUGGAGUCUUGUAGAGGG